rnacentral:rRNA from 1 species
CCUACGGUGGGCUGCAGUGGGGAAUAUUGGACAAUGGGCGAAAGCCUGAUCCAGCCAUGCCGCGUGUGUGAAGAAGGCCUUCGGGUUGUAAAGCACUUUCAGUGGGGAAGAAAGCCUUGGGGCUAAUACCCUCGAGGAAGGACAUCACCCACAGAAGAAGCACCGGCUAACUCCGUGCCAGCAGCCGCGGUAAUACGGAGGGUGCGAGCGUUAAUCGGAAUUACUGGGCGUAAAGCGCGCGUAGGCGGUCUGAUAAGCCGGUUGUGAAAGCCCCGGGCUCAACCUGGGAACGGCAUCCGGAACUGUCAGGCUAGAGUGAAGCAGAGGAAGGUAAAAUCCCCGGUGUAGCGGUGAAAUGCGUAGAGAUCGGGAGGAAUCCCAGUGGGGAGGGCGGCCUUCUGGACUGACCCUGCCGCUGAGGUGCAAAAGCGUGGGUAGCAACCAGGAUUAGAUCCCCCAGUAGUC